rnacentral:rRNA from 1 species
CGGAAACCUGCCGGUCCGAUAAACCGGAGGAAGGUGGGGAGUGACGUCAAGUCAGCAUGGCCUUUAUAUCCUGGGCUACACACACGCUACAAUGGGAAGGGACAAUAGGUUGCGAAGCCGCGAGGCGGAGCCAAUCCAGCAAAACUUCCCUCAGUUCAGAUUGCAGGCUGCAACCCGCCUGCAUGAAGUUGGAGUUGCUAGUAAACGCAGGUCAGCCAUACUGCGUUGAAUACGUUCCCGGGGCUU